CUCCUUCUCUGUGUUCUUGGUGUCUAAUAUUCCAGGAGUGUCGACCACUGUGAUCUGUUUCCUGAACACAUUUUCUGUUUGUUCAGAGAUCUCUGUCGUCACUGUUUUAUGAGACGGCUUCGACUCAAACGCUGGUCGUCCCAGGAUGGUGUUUCCUGAAGCACUUUUACCAACUCCGGUAUUUCCCAGAAGGACG